GAUGAACGCUAGCUACAGGCUUAACACAUGCAAGUCGAGGGGUAACGAGAGGAAAGCUUGCUUUCCUUGUCGACGACCGGCGCACGGGUGAGUAACGCGUAUCCAACCUGCCCCCAACUAAGGAAUAACCUUGCGAAAGUAAGACUAAUACCUUAUAAUUUCCUCAGAUGACAUCUGACGAGGAAUAAAGAUUUAUCGGUUGUGGAUGGGGAUGCGUCUGAUUAGCUUGUUGGCGGGGUAACGGCCCACCAAGGCAACGAUCAGUAGGGGUUCUGAGAGGAAGGUACACCACAUUGGACCUGAGACACGGUCCAAACUCCUACGGGAGGCAGCAGUGAGGAAUAUUGGUCAAUGGGCGGAAGCCUGAACCAGCCAAGUAGCGUGCAGGAUGACGGCCCUAUGGGUUGUAAACUGCUUUUAUACAGGAAUAAAGUUAGCCACGUGUGGUUAUUUGUAGGUACUGUAUGAAUAAGGACCGGCUAAUUCCGUGCCAGCAGCCGCCGUAA
rnacentral:rRNA from 1 species